GACGAACGCUGGCGGCGUGCUUAAUACAUGCAAGUCGAACGAGUGGCGAACGGGUGAGUAAUACGUGGGUAACCUGCCCUGUUUUUGGGAUAAGCAUUGGAAACGGGGUCUAAUACCGCAUAAAGGGGGAUGGUCUCGCGGCCUGUCAGCUUGUUGGUGGGGUGAUGGCCUACCAAGGAGGUGACGGGUAGCCGGACUGAGAGGGUGACGGGGCACAGUGGGAUUGGGAAACGGCCCAGAGUGCUACGGUAGGCAGAAGUGGGGGAUAUUGCACAAUGGGCGAAAGCCUGAUGCAGGGACGCCGGGUGGGGGAUGACGGCUUUCGGGUUGUAAACCUCUGUCGCUAUCGAACGGGUAGGUAGCGAAGAAGCGCCGGCUAACUACGUGCCAGCAGCCGCGGUAAUAC
rnacentral:rRNA from 1 species